UAAAAUUCAAUAUAGCAAAUAAAAUUGGAAA
rnacentral:piRNA from 1 species